rnacentral:rRNA from 1 species
GAUGAACGCUGGCGGCGUGCUUAACACAUGCAAGUCGAACGGAGUGCCUUUGAAAGAGGAUUCGUCCAAUUGAUAAGGUUACUUAGUGGCGGACGGGUGAGUAACGCGUGAGGAACCUGCCUUGGAGUGGGGAAUAACAGUUAGAAAUGGCUGCUAAUACCGCAUAAGCGCACAGGGCCGCAUGGCCCGGUGUGAAAAACUCCGGUGGUAUAAGAUGGACCCGUGUCUGAUUAGCUGGUUGGUGGGGUAACGGCCCACCAAGGCGACGAUCAGUAGCCGGCCUGAGAGGGUGAACGGCCACAUUGGGACUGAGACACGGCCCAG